UUGACCUCGGUUCAGGUG
rnacentral:rRNA from 1 species